CUAGUUUUCGAACUUGCAGAUAUAAAAGUUUGGGUUUAACGUGGGGGUUUCAAGGAGCUCCAUUCAGUCCAAUAAAGAGGGCAAAGGAGCGGUUAGAGCUGCCGCCUCAUGCAGUAGGCUAGCCUUAUUAUUUCUUUUCAGUGCGUGGUGACUAUAGUGAGAGUUACGUUGGAUGGAGCAGAUAAAUAUGUAAGUUUAGCCAUUUGCAUGGUGUGGGAGCAACUCCUCCCGCUUACUCUGCUCGCUCAUUGGACUGAAGGGAGCUCCCGUUGAAUCACUAGUGUGUGACAUUUCAGCAUCCCGUUUCACACUAUUGGAUUUAAGUUAUUUGUUAUUUUCUCCUUUCACUUUGUUUCUUUUAACAUGACAAGGCAAACGAUUGAAGAUCAUAUAUACAUGUUUUAUUUUUCUCACUUUUGUGUUUAGGUAUAGCCGAAAAGAAAAAGAAGAUCAUGGAUUGCAGCUAAAGGUCAAAGGAAUGUUGUUUCUCUAGGUAGAACUUAGAAGCUCUGAAAGCUUUUAAGGCUGCUCACAAGAGUCAGAAGAAGUUGCUGUUUUAUGGUUUUAUCCGCCCACUGAAAUUAAAGCCCGAAGGUAUGAAGAAGCAGCGUCCGUGCUGUUUUUAGUUUUUACCGUAACGUGCCAUGCAUAUAUGCAUUCAUGGGGACGAGGGGCUUAGCUCACCAAUCGGCUGAUGCCUCCAAGGCUCCAACGAAUGACAUGCAGUCAUCAACUCAUCAUGGUCUAAAAUGGUCAGAUACCAGAUUAUAACCCGAACUCUAAUGUGAUUAGUCUAAAGGAAAUGGCGUCUGAAUUCCAUAUUGGAUAUGUAAAUGUGGUCAGUUUUGAGUAUUGAUCAACACAGAUAGGCCUACACCCUCUGAUGACCUUA